AGGGGGCACAUUCCAGGGCUCCAGGAAGGAGAAGAGGGAGCGGAACUGAGUUCAUCGCCACGGAGAACGACGAUUCGAGAGCAGUGGUAUUACCGAUGGCGUUGUGUGAAUUCUCGUCGCGGCAGUGUAAUGGGAACAUUUCUAGGAUUUUCUUAGAGUGGGGCGGGGAGGUGUGAGGGUGGAUUGUGCUGGGGUGGGAGGUCGAGGAACGCGAGCAAUUUUGGGAGCGUAGGGUUUUGACUCCUGGCCACUGAGGAACGAUGAGAUCGACACAUCCGAGAUAUGCUAGGAGGCUUUUGGAGGGUUUUUUAAUAUUAUAUUCGAUAUGACGAAGUUAUAGUUCCUAAACUAUUGGACUUUGCUAUGGAUAAAGAAGUCAAGGAGGUCUCACAGCCUCAAGUUUUUCCAGUGAGAGAAGGAAAAAUGGAAGCAGGCUUGCAUUGUAUGUCCCCGUUGGCUCAGCGAGCACUUUGUCAUGAGCCUUCGUGUGACAGAAUGCAAUUGCCUGCUACAAUUCAUUCUGUCAUGGCUGAGGCGACAAAUGAUACAGGAGAACGGAUCAGUAGGGUGAGAUCGGGACCUUUUUCAAGUUCAGUGCAGCCCAAGUCUGCAAACUUAAUUAGAACUGCACCUCCAAUUGGCAAGAAAGUGAUCAGGUAUAUAGGUCGGCUCGAGGCCUGGAGAGGUAGGUUUGACAAUGUUUGGGAUGACCAUGACAGCGGAAAUUCGAGCUGGCAUGGUCCUACAAGGGAUAACCGAAAAUCAGACGAAACACGUAGGGAGAGAGAAGACCGAGAGCUGCGAAGAAAUGAUGAUAGGGAUAGAAAGGAAGAAAGAGAGCAACGACGUUCGGAUGAACGAUCAGAACGGGAUGAGCCGCGUCGCGUUAGGAGUGCCACGUUUGGUAGCGAGCGUGUUUUUUCCUCAAUUCGUGGGCUCACCGCUAUGGAUGACCGAGAACGAGACAGGGACAGAGACUAUCGUCAAGGUGGGCGUAGUGGUGAUGAUUCUGGUCGCAUGAUACAACGUGAGCGGUCGUUUAAUGGAGCUAUAAGCUCUAUCUCUGAUCGAUCUAGUGUUACACAAUUUGGCAGUGGAAAGGAUUGGAGUGUAGGUGACAAGAGAUCCGAUUUGAGUAGGUUUGAAAGGUAUGGUACUGGAAACCGUGAUGGCUCCCGUGCAGAGUAUGAAGGCCAUGGUAGAGAUUCAAGUUUUACCAACGGAUGGCGCCGGGAAAGAAGCCACUCUGGUGUUACUGCGAGGCAUUCCAGUUUUGCGUUUGGAAAUAAGAACUUCGGAGAGCAUGGAAGCAGAGGCUCUCUGUUAUUGAGUUCCGGACAUGACUCUCAUUAUGCUACUACAUUGUCUUCUAACCACGAUUCCGACCAUCCAUCCCCAUCUAAGCGUCCACGCCUUGGUUGGGGUCAGGGGUUGGCAAAGUAUGAGAAGAAAGUUGGAGAUACUGAUGACGUAUCUCCUCCUGUCGAAAAACAUGAUACUAAAAAAGAUGCAGAAAGUGAGGCUCAUCGGCACGUUGAAGAAUUUGAGGAGAACAGGGACAUGUUGGACGAAAAGCGUUCAGAAAUAGUUCCCAGCGGGGGAAGCUUGGAUGCGUCCCUAGACUUACAUAAAAAGCGUCCUAUGCCAGGGGUGCAUUAUGAAAACAAACAAGAGGACAAGGAAGGUAUAACUGAUUGUCUUGAAAAGCAAGAGAAGAGUGAGAAUAAGUCUAUCCUGUGGAGAGACGGCGGAGGACGGGAGAGAAGUGGCCAAGAUAAAAAUUCCUGUGCUUUGUAUGGAGAUGGUAUGGGAAUAAAAGGGGAGGAUGAAAAGAAGGCUGCUCUAUCUGAAGAGCUUCUCGGACUUGAGCAAAGUCCUGCACCGCCUCUCUUGUUGGAAGAUUGUGCUAAUAGUACAAGAGAAGAGAUGAGCGACAGUAAACCUGCACUUCCUAAUGAUACGAAAGUGUCGGAGCCGAAUGCUCAGGAUCCUGUAUCACACGUCUUGGUGAAAGGCAGUCAGAAUAGAACAGAGCACGAUGACGUGACACUACCAGUGCUGCAAGAACAUGAAUCACUGGAAGGAAAGGACCAAAGUCUCGUCUCAUCUGUUGUGGUGGGAGAGAAUGAGGUAAGGGGUGGGGAUUUAAUGAAAAGUUCUUCACUUGUUGAAAUGCGUGAAGAAGUUAUAGAGGAUAGACCCAAAAAUGUUAUUUCAUUGACAGAGUCCCUCCAGUGUUCUGUUGAUGCGAAGAUGGUGUGUCUUUCCUCCUCUCAGUCUUCUCCGACUUCAGUGUCGACUAGAUUCGAGAAGUCACCAAUUCAUUCUGAAAGAGAUGCUAUCACCAUACCUGCCCUUUGCGAGCGUAAAGAAACUGAAGAAGGAUUGUUCUUAUCAAGAGAAUCUAGCAUGACUUCCGUGCCAGAGGGUUUCGUUGUAGAGUUGAUGUCUGAAGGAACACCACCCGUAUCAAUGGAUUUAGAUGAGGAUAAAAACGUCAAAGACGUGUUGGAAUUGGUGCCUGUCGAGGCAAUAUCCGACUCAACAGAUGAGGUCAAGGACGUCAAACUCGUGAUGGAAUUGGUGCCUGUCGAGGCACUACCCGAAUCAAUCGGUGAAGACAAAGACGUCAGAAGUUUGCCACAUGAAUUGAUGUCUGCAGGUGUACCUUCGAUUGUAGAAAAAGCCAAGGAUGUAAGAGGUGUAGCACCUGAAACGGUGUCUGCAAAUGUGCCUCCGGAACCAAUGAUCUUAGACACAGACAAGGGCAUCGGAGGUAUGUCACUUGAAUUGAUGCAGUCAGGUGUGCCUCUAGAAUCAAUGAUUGUAGACAAUGACGAAGUAAUCGGAGGUGAGUUGAGUGGAAGCAUGGCACAGAGUCUUGGGUCAGAGGAACCGGAUUAUUACAAGAAUCAGUUUGGCAGUGAAGUAGUUCCAAGGCGCAGUUUACGACUGGAGUGUGAUUUAUCGAUGAUAGAUUCUUUUCUGAUGGAGAAUAAAGAGAAAGCUCGCUUGGCUGGAGCUUCCUUUGUACACCUCCUUCCACUCAGUCUUACAGGAGACAUUCAACAGCAGUUGUACCACUCCCCCACCGAAGCACCUGUCUGGCAACGUAACAUAGAAACUCAUAAGAACAUACAGGAUAGGUUGCUGAGGAAGCUAGCUGAGAGGCACCACUUCUGCAAAUUCAAAGAACGUGUCUUAACCUUGAGGUUUAGAGCUCUUAAGGAGGCCUGGAAGCGAGAACAAAAAGGGCUUUUUGAAAGAAAGAAUCGUCCUAAAGCAGUUGAUAGACGGGACAUUGAGAGGCGUAGCAAUCAUGGACCUCCAAGCCAACGGUCUUCCUUGCGGUUGCGUCCUUUCAGUUUGAGCAGGCUGGAUGUUGAAUCGGAGGCUGCGGAGGCUAUGAAGAAGUUGAUGAAAGAUCCUCAUGUGGAAGCUUUUUGUCCGGUUUUGAAAAUGCCAGCCAUGAUCUUGGAUGAGAAGGAACGCGCUUCUCGUAGGUUUGUGAGUAGAAAUGCGCUUGUGGAGGAUCCUGUUGCUGUUGAGAUGGAGCGUAAGAUCCUUAAUCCAUGGACAACCGAAGAGAAGAAGAUCUUUGCUGAAAAGUUCGCACUUCAUCGCAAAAGCUUCAAAGAGAUUGCUUCUAACUUAAAGUACAAGACUACAGCUGAUUGUAUUGAAUAUUACUACCGGAAUCAUAAGUCCGAAGACUUUGACAAAUCUAAGAAGGGUGUGCAUUCUAAAGAUCGAGGUGACCACACCAAGACAAGUUCUACGUUUCUUACGCCGACUUCGGCAGGGAUCAAACGGAAUCAUGAAGCAAAUUGUGCCAGACUUGAGGCUAUUAACGUAGUCAACAUGAAUACGAAACUAUCUCAAAUUAAUAGCCCGGUCUUGGAGCAUGCCAAACCUACAACACUUUCAAAUGGUCCUUUGCCAGUGCCAGCUGGUGCUGAUAUUCCAAGGCUAAAUCUGAAGGAAAGUGAGGUGCCUGAAGUGGUACUUCCAUCUGGAGCUACAGCUGAGAUAGCCACUGUUGAGACAGCUACGUCAAGUCUGAUGAGCACUCCUUGCAGUGUUAGUUCUACACCUGCUCCGGUAACGGAUCAAUGGAAUGGCAGAAGCUCUGUGAAGGAGAGGGUAGGAAGAGGCCUUUCAACGACUAGGUGUUUUCUCUCUGAACGGCAUCCUGCUGGACCAAAGGGUACACGGAGCACACAUUUGCGACGCCUGUCAUCCAGGGCAGCUGCGCAAGAGGAUUCACAAUGGACGGAUGAAGAAAGAGAGCUUUUUACCAGUGCAGUGGCAACAUAUGGGAAGGAUUUCCGCCUCAUUGCUUCGCAUGUCGGUUCAAAAAAUCUAAGCCAAUGCAAAGCGUUUUUUAGUAAGACCAGGAAGCGUCUUGGGCUUGAUGAGUUGGUGGAGCAGUUUGAAGCCAAUGAAGCUGCUGCUAUGUUGAUGCAAAGUUUUAGACAUGAAGCAGACCUUGUGCAAGAGGCGAAGCUGAUCAGCUCCGCUGAGGAUAUGCAGAUGGACUCUUCUGCUGGAGUUUUGGCUCACUCUGUGGAGGAGCUCAGUGAUACGGCUGCAGCCGUUAGCACCUUAGAGAGCCUCAAAGUCCAGUCAAAAUGUUUAACGAAUGACAUGUCAGAUUUGAGCUUGGUUGCUGAUGCAGCAGCAGUGAUGGAAGAAAUCACGCUAGAGAAGUCGGAGUGCACAGCACAGGACCUAUUUUCUAAUGAGAAAUCAUUGACACAAAGUGAAGAGCUUGCACAUGAGCUCUUAAAAGUUGAUCCUUCCAAUUGCACAGUACUUCCUGCAAGGAUAAGGCAGGAGGAAGAGAACGACAGUGAAGCUACUAAAUCGGAUGACAGCUAUCAGGUUGGUGCUGAGACUGAAAGCGAUAUUGUUGUGGAUCAAGCAGCAGCCGCCUUACUUGGAAUGUCUGAAAUGUCAGCAGAUGCUCCAGGGUUAAAGAAAAGCAAAUCCGAGGCCAAGAUUUGUACUAAAUCUUCGCCUGUCAGUGUAUUCUCGCGAUCGCAAUCAGCUCGCCUACCGACUUCAUCUCCUCCGUCGCAUUCUGUAAUGGAGGUCAACCUGAGUUUGACAUCUGAAAGAAACUCUCGACAAUUAAAGGAGAGGGUGAAUCCUACAGUAUCAUGCAAACCAACUACCAGGGAAAGACCUCAAGAUAUGCUUGAUGCCCACACUGGGAGAAAAAGUAGAGAGGUGGUAGGCGGAGAGCCAAAGCCUCGGAGAGAACCUACUUCGUGGACGCAAGAAGAAAAGGAGAAGUUUGCAGUGAUUUUGCAAGAACAUGGCAAAGACUGGGCAUUGCUGCACGAGAGUUUACCUUCGAAAUCAUUGACUCAGAUCAAGACCUACUUUCAGAACUCCAAAGCUAGAUCAAGGUUGCCUGCUUCUGACAAGCUUUUGAAUGUGGCUCGGAGUGACGUAGGAAAUCGUAAGCGCAAAGCUGACGAGUUCGAUUCAACAAGGAAAGCUGCAGAGUUGGCACUACCUUUGAAACAGAAGGUCAGAGGCAAUGUGGCUCCUCCUGAGUUCGAUAAUAGUAAUCAUAAAGAAGAUAGUCUACUUGGUUCUUCAUCAGUUUCAGGAACCGCUGGUGUUGGGGUUGACAUCCUUCCGUAUGCAGCUCGUUUUGGUUCUUUUCCUAGUCAACCAGUUGGUCAGGAUACCCUAAAUAUCAAUGGGAUGCACUCAGUUCGUCAAAUGCCUACUUCGAACUACUCCCAGGGGACUACACAGGAUGGACAUCAAGUCUUUCGACCUGGAGAGAGGCCCUCAUUACCGAACCCAGUUGCGACUCGUUCUCAUCAUGGGGAUGUUGUAUUGCAGCAGUUUUCUGAUCCAGGUUUAUCAAUGACAGGUGAUCCUGACCUCCAGGGACUAUCUCAAGGCGUGGUACCACAAGCUGGGCCACCAGCAGCCAUUCAUCAGGUUGCUCAGCAAGUGCAACAGAUGCUUGCUCAGCAGCAACAUCUUCAGAAGCAGCUGGCACUUCUUUUACAACAACAAGCUGCUCUUCCACAAGCACUUCUACCGCAGCAUCAACAAGCAACUCAGCAAACAUUGCAGGCUGUGCGGCCUCUUGAAAAGAAGCUGCAUCAAGUUGUACAACAAUUACAGCACCAACAGGCUCUAGCACAGAAUCAAGAGAUGGGGAUUCAUAAUCACAUGCAUUUCCAGCAGCAGCAGUUACCGCAAGGACGGGGUAUAUUGAAAGUGAAGCCUAUUCGAGGAGCCAUAUCUAAGCCUUUGUCAGAUUUGGCAGGUUCACCAUCUCAAGGUGUUUUUCAGAAUCAGUGUAAUUCACGGAAUCAAGACAUCCAAUUGCAUCAGCAGGGUCACUCUUUGUUACUAGGAAUUGGCACCAAUCCCGCAGUGACAGCUGGUAGUACAGCUGGACUCUUGAAGAACCAUGCGAAGACACUUGAUGUUCAGGACAGUGACACUGAUUCAGAUUGUGAAGGUAUGGGAAGCAUGCAGAUGGUGGCAGAUGACUCCCAUCAGCGGAUGAGUGUAGUGCAUUCAACUUCUUCUGGUCAACAGCAAGGUGCUGCGCAGAGCACUACUUCCACAUUAUCAAGCGAUUCGGAGCAAGUGAAAUCCUGGGAUGUUAAGUUAUUUGGCCAAUCCCUCCUAUCCAAACCACCAUCAUUGCCCUCAAGUGUACCACGCACUGCAGGAAGCUCAAUGCAAGAAUUUGUCAAGCCUAGCACAUCUUCUCCGGCAACCUCAGUUACAUUUCCUACUGGAACCUUAUCAAAGGGGUUCAGGUCUUCUGAAUCUCUCCCUUCUGCAUUUGGACGAGUAGGAGCUUCAUCAAGCGUUGCAGACGGGCAGCUUGUUCCGUGGGCGGGUAUGACUAACCUGUCAGGAAAGUUGAGCCAGUAUGGUGCAUGGAGUACAACAAACAGCUUACAGGUAUCUGGAGUGACAGAAGCUGCUGGGAAGGAACCGGAUUCUGUUAGUACCCAAGAAGCUGCUACAUCUGUAGCAUCACAAUCAGAUCGUCAGCAUACUGAUGCUCAAGUCCUGGUUUCGGCACCCGAGCAAGGUCUACAAGGAAAUGACGAACACCGUGAUAGUGAGAGUGGAUUGAGUGCUGGUCAAUCGGAAACACCAGUUUGUGGCACUGCCGUUGCCGAAAGUCCGUUUCUUGAUGGAAGUCAAAACCGUUCGAUUGAACAUGUAUCAAGCCCAGACGCAGAUCAAUGUCGAAUUGGUUUGGAGCCUACAUCCCAUAUAAAUUCACUGCCUACCAUUUCUGCAGGUCCUGGACAGUGGGGGUGAGCUAUUUUGACUUUUGGAGAUUAUGUUAAGGCAGUACUUUUGGGGCUUCUCAAGAUCAUGGAAGCCGCAAUUAUUUCCCAUUCAUUGUCUUCUCCUCCGAUAAGAGCUAAUGAAUGCUCUGCGAAAGGGAGCUGAAGAUCAAGUAGCUUGGUUGAGAAUUCUCCACUCAAGCGCUCAGAAUGGUACGAUGCGCAUGUUCAAGGAAGACAUUUAGAAGGCGCACAUGGAUAUCUACAAGUGAUGGGAUGAGCUGUUCAGGCUUCGUGGAUUACCUCAUGACUGCAGUGGCACCCUGGAUUCUUGUAUAGAAGUUUUUCAAGAUGAAAAUUGAUGCAGUUUCACCUAUGCUGUUGAUAACUCGAUCUGAAUUUUUAGGUGAUGUCUGAUCACCCCCACUCAACAUCCUUACUCCAACAGCGAGGGAAUUCAUGUCCUUCAGACGUCAUGGCUGUUGGCUUUGGUAUUGAUGGCAUGGAACGUUUGCGCAUUACUUUCCUAGGACACCUGGUGCCCUGGAACCGAUGGUGUCCUGUUGAUGAACAUCCGCGGGGACUAUCAUUCACGAGGGAUAGCGGGCGGGGAGCAGGGCCCCGAAUUUGUGUAGGAUUUUUACUUCACUUCUGCAGUCGAAUGUGUCGAAUUUGGAACAUGGUGUGCAUGGUUGACUGCACGUAGCAAGUGCUGGUCGCCGAUCCGAUCUUCCUCAGUGGCGAUCCACAUCUGUUUCGUCGUUGGUGUGCUUGUGUAUGUAAAUUUUGAUAGAGUAGUCUUCGUAAUCCCCAAGCUCGCCCACAAGCUCGUCACCCGUGGACAGGGCGGAGGGUUUGGGACCCUGCUCAAAUUCUUGUAUGGGAUGGACGGCCUUUGGCGACGUCUAUUCGCAGCACACCCUUCCCCGGUACGUGGGCAGGGAGGUGUCUUGUCGCAUCCUGCCAAAUCCCCCAAAUUAAACUCUUACACUGGGUGUUCCCGCAAUUUAAUGUAGCAGGUUUUCGCAGCUUACCAGAU